rnacentral:rRNA from 1 species
UACAGAGGGUGCGAGCGUUAAUCGGAAUUACUGGGCGUAAAGGGCUCGUAGGCGGCCAACUAAGUCGGACGUGAAAUCCCCAGGCUCAACCUGGGAACUGCGUCUGAUACUGGAUGGCUUGAAUCCGGGAGAGGGAUGCAGAAUUCCAGGUGUAGCGGUGAAAUGCGUAGAUAUCUGGAGGAAUACCGGUGGCGAAGGCGGCAUCCUGGACCGGCAUUGACGCUGAGGAGCGAAAGCCAGGGGAGCAAACGGG